AACUUUUUCUUUAUGAAUCUCAUAUAUAUCAUAGAAUCUAAUUGUUGGUCGAGACUACUACAAUCAGGUACCAAAAUAGCAGUUUUUGUGAUAUCCAGAUGGAUAGAGUGUAUUGGGAAGGCCUCCACAUCAAUGGGCUGUUUACUUCGGGGCAUAUAUCUUAAGGCUUACACAUUCAUCCAAGAAUUUAUUUUCCUCGGCCUUUCUCAU